rnacentral:rRNA from 1 species
UACGUAGGGUGCAAGCGUUGUCCGGAAUUAUUGGGCGUAAAGAGCGUGUAGGCGGCCCGAUAAGUCCGCUGUGAAAGUCCAGGGCUCAACCCUGGAAUGCCAGUGGAAACUGUCGGGCUCGAGUCCGGAAGAGGCGAGUGGAAUUCCUGGUGUAGCGGUGAAAUGCGCAGAUAUCAGGAGGAACACCGAUGGCGAAGGCAGCUCGCUGGGACGGUACUGACGCUGAGGCGCGAAAGCGUGGGGAGCAAACAGG